UUUUUUCUAACACCAGCAUGUGUUUCUGUAGAAGCCUGGAACUUUCCUCUGCUGCUGUGUGGGGACUAGAAGGGAACAAACCAAGUAAGAAGGUGCCCAAUGGGCUGGAGGCUGUGAGCAUGGAGAGCAAGGGCUGCCUGAGCAGCGGACGGUGAAGAGACAGAUGGGACAUCGUUGGAACGCAGGCCCAAGGAGAGGCCCCGUGCAGCUCUCUUCAGGGACCAUCCCGGGGUGCUCGACCUGUCCCUGCAAGAAGAACACCCAUCACCACCAAUCUCUUCAUGCGUCUGCCCGUUGGCCACCUUUCCUACCCACCACCAGCCCAACCUGCUUCCUCCCCACACAUCUUGGCCUUGUGGCACUCCUAGCCCCACACUGUGGCCAUGCUGCAUCCUUCUAUCUGUCCUGUAUCAUCUUCUGCUUCUCCACUGGUAUGUGGAGCAUGGGCAGACUGUGCCUGUUCUCUCCUCAGGGCCUUUGCUUCCCUGGCUUUUCCCAGCUGGCACCCACAUGCACACAGCUGUGCAGAUCCUUCCCAAAUAACAGCCUUCAUCCUGUGGGAUGGAAUAAACCUCCUUUCCACACACAGACUUCAAUGGCUGCCUCCUGCAUCUUCUUUGUCCUCCUCCUCCUAAGAACCCCCUCACACCAUGAGCACAAAACAUCACCUUGCACCUGGCAGUCCACACACCUGGAUGAUGCCAUCUCCCAUGUCAGCCUUUAGUGCUGAGCAAGAGUUGUCCAACUUCCAAGCACCUCUGAUGGAGCCAGUCUAAUAAAGCUGUGCUAACCCUGAGUCAAAAGUGCCACCUUUGCUACCCAAAUUAACACAAUUGGUUCCCAAAGUGCCACCCAUAGUACCAAGCCUGAUACCUACACUACCCAAAGUGCCGUUUACUGAUACCCAGCCUAACAGCUACAGUACCCCAAGUGCCACCUACAACACCCAACCUAACCCCUCUGGUUCCCAAAGUGCCACCCACAGCAGCCAUGCUAACACCAAUGAUAUCCAACCUAACACCACUUCAAGUGCCACCUACUCUACCCAGCCUGACACCUCCAAUGCCCAAUGUACCACCUCUGCUGCCCAACCUAACACCUGCGGUUCCCAAAGUGCCACCUACCACAGGAUCCAACCUGACAACUGUAAUACACAAAGUGCCACCCACAAUACCCAGCCUAACACUAUGAUACCCAACCUAACACCUAUGACACCCAAAGUAACACUGACACUACCCAAUCUAACACCUAUGACAGCCAACCUAAUGCCACCUCAAGUGCCACCUACUCUACCCAGCCUGACACCUCUGGUUCCCAAAGUGCCACCCUACAGGAUCCAACCUAACACCUGUAAUACCCAAAGUGACACCAGCACUACCCAAACUAACACCUUUGUUAUACCAUCUAACCCCUAUGCUUCCCAACCUGAAACCUGCAAUAGGCAAAUUGCACCUGCAGCUACCCAGCCUGACACCUACACUUCCCCUCCUGCCACUGCCUGCACCCCUUAACUACUGCCUGUAUCCCUGCCAAGAGGACAACCUGCAAAUACCCUACACUGUGUCCCCAGUGUGUCCUUACCUGCACGGGGCCUCUCCUUGGGCCUGCGUUCCAACGAUGUCCCAUCUGUCUCUUCACCGUCCGCUGCUCAGGCAGCCCUUGCUCUCCAUGCUCACGGCCUCCAGCCCAUUGGGCACCUGCAGGGUUCAAAGGCACAAGAUGAUGCUUAGAGUGCAAUGUGCUGUGCUCCUGCCCUUCCCACCAGCCAAGUCCCCUUCAUGUCUCCCUUGUAGUGAGGGGCCCAGAACUUAACAAUAUACAACAGAAAAUGCAUAAUAUAAAUUAAAUACAUGAUAACACAAGUCCUACUACUAAUAAUGAUAAGGGAAGUAACAAGGGGACAGAAUGUAAAGCUAAAGGGGACAAAAGGGAAGGUUAAAACCAAUGAACACAAGUGAUGCACAAUGCAAUGGCUCAGCAGCCACCAACCGAUACCAGCCCGACCCAAGCAGCGAUCGCUGCCUUCCAGGUAACUCCCCCCAGUUCCUAUCCUGGGCAUGACGUGCUGUGGGAUGGGAUGAUCCUUUGGCUCCUUUGGGACAGGUGUCCUGGCUCUGCUCCCUCCCAGCUUCCAGUGCCCCUCCUCACUGGCACAGCACAAGAGUCUGACAAGUCCUGGGAUCGGGCUAAGUACCACACAGCAAGAGCU
ensembl:lncRNA